GCAGGUCGGCUGAUGCAGAGCGUAGUGGGCGGGUUGGGGUAUAGGUUUUGACCAUGUCCUGGAUGUAUGCUGGGGCUGAUCCAUUCGUGGCCCUUUAUGCAAGUACUAGUGUCUUGGAUAUGUUAAAAG